rnacentral:rRNA from 1 species
GAUGAACGCUGGCGGCGUGCCUAAUACAUGCAAGUCGAGCGAACAGACGAGGAGCUUGCUUCUCUGAUGUUAGCGGCGGACGGGUGAGUAACACGUGGAUAACCUACCUAUAAGACUGGGAUAACUUCGGGAAACCGGAGCUAAUACCGGAUAAUAUAUUGAACCGCAUGGUUCAAUAGUGAAAGACGGUCUUGCUGUCACUUAUAGAUGGAUCCGCGCCGCAUUAGCUAGUUGGUAAGGUAACGGCUUACCAAGGCAACGAUGCGUAGCCGACCUGAGAGGGUGAUCGGCCACACUGGAACUGAGACACGGUCCAGACUCCUACGGGAGGCAGCAGUAGGGAAUCUUCCGCAAUGGGCGAAAGCCUGACGGAGCAACGCCGCGUGAGUGAUGAAGGUCUUCGGAUCGUAAAACUCUGUUAUUAGGGAAGAACAAAUGUGUAAGUAACUAUGCACGUCUUGACGGUACCUAAUCAGAAAGCCACGGCUAACUACGUG